rnacentral:rRNA from 1 species
CCUACGGGGGGCUGCAGUGGGGGAUAUUGCACAAUGGGGGAAACCCUGAUGCAGCGACGCCGCGUGAGUGAAGAAGUAUUUCGGUAUGUAAAGCACUAUCAGCAGGGAAGAAAAAAGACGGUACCUGACUAAGACGCACCGGCUAACUACGUGCCAGCAGCCGCGGUAAUACGUAGGGGGCAAGCGUUAUCCGGAUUGACUGGGUGUAAAGGGAACGUAGACGGCAAUACAAGUCGGAAGUGAAAUACCCGGGCUCAACCUGGGAACUGCAUUGGAAACUGGAUGGCUAGAGUGCUGUAGAGGUAAGCGGAAUUCCUGGUGUAGCGGUGAAAUGCGUAGAUAUUAGGAGGAACACCAGUGGCGAAGGCGGCUUACUGGACAGAAACUGACGUUGAGGCUCGAAAGCGUGGGGAGCAAACAGGAUUAGAUACCCGGGUAGUC